rnacentral:ncRNA from 1 species
GAGCAACUUAGGAUUUUAGGCUCGCCGGUUCCUUUUGGGCCGGUACAAACCCCGCGGACCUGGCGGUGCUGCGGAGGUCAAAAUCUUACCGCCGGAG